UACGUAGGGUGCAAGCGUUGUCCGGAAUUAUUGGGCGUAAAGAGCUCGUAGGCGGUCAGUCGCGUCUGCUGUGAAAACUCGGGGCUUAACUCCGGGCCUGCAGUGGGUACGGGCUGACUAGAGUGCGGUAGGGGAGACUGGAAUUCCUGGUGUAGCGGUGAAAUGCGCAGAUAUCAGGAGGAACACCAGUGGCGAAGGCGGCUUCCUGGACCAGAGCUGACACUGAGGCGCGAAAGCGUGGGGAGCGAUCCGG
rnacentral:rRNA from 1 species